GAGUCGAUCCUAAGCCAACUGUGAAAGCAGUGACAUCCCGACAAAGGGGCGUAUUACGUGUACUGCACUUACACCCCUGCACGCACACUAUGGCAAACUCGGUCUGGCUGUCUGGAAAAGGAACCCGCGGACGCACAGUGAUCACAUAAAAGUGUGGGUGAGUCCGCGGGGGAGGCAUUGGUGUUCUGGUUACGCUCAAAAGCGUUGCUCAAAGGAAUGAGCGUGUGUGUUGCAGGUGCGCGUGAGUUGCGAUGUCCCCUGCGUCUGGUUCUAUGUCUGGCGAAAGGGAAUGGGGACUUUGUUCCUUGACCGGUCCCGGCACCCUCGAUAGGCUUUGCCAAUCAAUGGUCCAUGCAAAUGGAACCAGGCCACAGCCGCCGGCAGUCGCC
rnacentral:rRNA from 1 species